rnacentral:rRNA from 1 species
AUAGCGUAUAUUAAAGUUGUUGCAGUUAAAAAGCUCGUAGUUGAACUUCAGACCUGGCUGGGCGGUCUGCCUAACGGUAUGUACUGUCCGGCUGGGUCUUACCUCUUGGUGAGCCGGCAUGCCCUUCACUGGGUGUGUCGGGGAACCAGGACUUUUACCUUGGAGAAAAUUAGAGUGUUCAAAGCAGGCUUAUGCCCGGAAUACAUUAGCAUGGAAUAAUAAAAUAGGACGUGCGGUUCUAUUUUGUUGGUUUCUAGAGUCGCCGUAAUGAUUAAUAGGGAUAGUUGGGGGCAUUAGUAUUCCGUUGCUAGAGGUGAAAUUCUUGGAUUUACGGAAGACUAACUAUUGCGAAAGCAUUUGCCAAGGAUGUUUUCAUUAAUCAAGAACGAACGUUAGGGGAUCGAAAACGAUCAGAUACCGU